rnacentral:rRNA from 1 species
CCUACGGGAGGCUGCAGUGAGGAAUAUUGGUCAAUGGGCGCGAGCCUGAACCAGCCAAGUAGCGUGAAGGAUGACUGCCCUAUGGGUUGUAAACUUCUUUUAUAAAGGAAUAAAGUGCGGCACGUGUGGCUUUUUGUAUGUACCUUAUGAAUAAGCAUCGGCUAAUUCCGUGCCAGCAGCCGCGGUAAUACGGAAGAUGCGAGCGUUAUCCGGAUUUAUUGGGUUUAAAGGGUGCGUAGGCGGUUUUUUAAGUCAGCGGUAAAAUCUUGGGGUCAAACCUUAACGUGCCGUUGAAACUGUGGGUCUUGAGUAUGUGUAGGGCAGGCGGAAUGCGUGGUGUAGCGGUGAAAUGCUUAGAUAUCACGCAGAACCCCGAUCGCGAAGGCAGCCUGCCGGGGCAAGACUGACGCUGAGGCUCGAAAGUGUGGGUAUCAAACAGGAUUAGAUACCCGGGUAGUC